GACGAACGCUGGCGGCGUGCCUAAUACAUGCAGGUUGAGCGCUGAAGGUUGGUACUUGUACCAACUGGAUGAGCAGCGAACGGGUGAGUAACGCGUGGGGAAUCUGCCUUUGAGCGGGGGACAACAUUUGGAAACGAAUGCUAAUACCGCAUAAAAACUUUAAACACAAGUUUUAAGUUUGAAAGAUGCAAUUGCAUCACUCAAAGAUGAUCCCGCGUUGUAUUAGCUAGUUGGUGAGGUAAAGGCUCACCAAGGCGAUGAUACAUAGCCGACCUGAGAGGGUGAUCGGCCACAUUGGGAAUGAGACACGGCCCAAACUCCUACGGGAGGCAGCAGUAGGGAAUCUUCGGCAAUGGACGAAAGUCUGACCGAGCAACGCCGCGUGAGUGAAGAAGGUUUUCGGAUCGUAAAAAUCUGUUGGUAGAGAAGAACGUUGGUGAGAGUGGAGAGCUCAUCAAGUGACGGUAACUACCCAGAAAGGGACGGCUAACUACGUG
rnacentral:rRNA from 1 species